GAACUUUAUUAUAAUUAAUGUCAUUAUUACUGAAGUUUUAACGGAUUUGAAUAUAUUGUUUCAUUCGAACAUACUUUAUUUUAUGGUAAACUUUGCGGGGAAUCGAUCUAACUUUGAAGUAAACUUUUAGAAAAUGAAGGAAUAGAAUAUGAACUGGAUGUUUUAUGAAGGAGUUCGGGAGUUCAGCAGUAGAUUUCCCUUUAAAUCUGGACAUCUUCACUUGGUAACAUCUUAAGAAAAUUUCUAUAGGGAACAAAUGUGUAGAUUUAUAGCAAGUGAGAAAGGUUUUCCUGUUCCCAAGAAAGCUAUUCCCAACAUUAGAGUGCAUAUCCAGG